CACCAGACUUGCCUCCAAUUGAUACUCGAUAAGGGAUUUAAAUUGUUCUCAUUCCAAUUGCCAGACCUGUAUAGGCCCGGCAUUGUUAUUUAUUGUCACUACCUCCCUGUGUCAGGAUUGGGUAAUUUACGCG
rnacentral:rRNA from 1 species